UGAGGAAUAUUGGGCAAUGCCCGAAAGGGUGACCCAGCAACGCCGCGUGGAGGAUGAAGGUCGUAAGAUUGUAAACUCCUGUUAGAGGGGAAGAAUAACUAAGUUUGGAGCUUAGUAUGACUGUACCCUCAGAGAAAGCCCCGGCUAACUACGUGCCAGCAGCCGCGGUAAUACGUAGGGGGCAAGCGUUGUCCGGAUUUACUGGGUGUAAAGGGCGCGCAGGCGGAAUGGAAAGUCAGUGGUGAAAUCCUACAGCUUAACUGUAGAACUGCCUUUGAUACUUUCAUUCUUGAGUUCGGGAGAGAGAGACGGAAUUCCAGGUGUAGUGGUGAAAUACGUAGAUAUCUGGAAGAACACCAGUUGCGAAGGCGGUCUCUUGGUCCGAUACUGACGCUGAGGCGCGAAAGCGUGGGGAGCAAACA
rnacentral:rRNA from 1 species